GGUAGACAGAUGAAUCACGGGGCGGUUUCCCCGAUACUGUUCUCGUGAUGGUGAAUAAAUCUCACGAGAUCUGAUGGUUUUGUGAGGGGCUUCCACCUCUCAUGCUAGUGAAUAAGUCUCGCGAGAUCUGAUGGUUUUAUAAGCGGUUUCCAGCUUCACUUGGCUUUCAUUCUCUCUUGCUGCCACCACGGAAGACGGGUUCCGCCUUCACCUUCCACCGUAAUUGUGAGGCCUCUCAAGCCACGUGGAUCUAGGCUACUUCAGCUCCUGAGAGGGGGAUCCUGGCUAACAGCUAAGAGGGAAGGAGCUCUGCUGGCCUGGGUCCCCUGACGGCUUCUUCACAAUGUCAGUGACAUGCAGAGGUCACCUGCACCAGAUACACGCCAGGUAACUCCUCAGGUUACUCCCCAGGAGCGACAGCUUGUGCCAGCACAGAAGCGAGCAGAGCCUGUGGCAUCACACCCAGAUGGGAUUGCUACGUCAUGUUGCUGACUUCCUUCAUAUUGGACUGACCCUGAGUUCAUGAAAUAGACCCCAGCUUUAUUCAUCCUGCACGACUGCAACUUCCUACCCUUUCAUCAACUUCUCCCAACCCGCUUCCCUGCCUCUGGAAACCACCACUCUACUCUCUGCUUCUGUGCAUCCAAGUUAAA